CGUAGGAUGCAUUCUGAAGUCCAAUCCAGAUCUGUCAUGUAUUGCGAGGCUCUGCAAGUUAUUUUUUUGUCAUUUUAGCGUGUGUUGAUGUCAUCUUUCUCUUGUGUUGAAGACGUAAAGUAAGAAAAAUAUCGAUUGCAUUGCAGGUAGGCGUGCCUGCAAGCAGAUAAGAUACCAUCAUUGCUACAGAGGUAACAGGACUUUGCAUCGGGAGCUGACAUGACCAUUGUGCAUGAUGGACAUAAAUCAUCAGGCUUUAAGGGUUGAGAUGAAACACAUACACCUCAGUUUUUGUGACUUCCUUGUGGAAUUGGAGUAUUGAUUUAUAUUUGCAGUGUACUAGCUACAAUGACAGGUUGCAAUUAUGGUUAUGUGGCCACCUCACCACAGUUGCACACUUUAAAUGCUUAGUGACAAAGUUUCGGGUGUUUGUAGCAUGCCUCAUAAGGCCACAAGGAAGACCUCAGGCCUUCAUGCUUCUGCAUGCUGUCCGAGGAGGUGUACAGUUAUAGUUUUGGUGUGAUUGCCUAGUCUGUAUAAAACAGGAGUUUGAGAUCAGGGGAUUGAUGCUAGAGAGGAUGUUCCGAGUGGCAACUUUCUUGUGAACUGUAUCUCCCCUUUUGUGUAUAUAUAGAGUGUGUACUGGUAUUACGGUGUUACACCAAGACAUGGCAGACCAUCUUGUCUGAAUAUUAGUGUUUUCAGAAGAUCUGAUGUGUACGUGAUGGGGAACCAGCUUGCAUGGAGUUGGAGAUGUGAUGAACCAGACAGAAUGAAGCACUUGGAGUGUUUUUGACUUGGAUAAGGAAAUGCGGUAUUCAGAGAUGAUGAAUACUCGGCAGCCUUCACGUUCCGUCCAAAAAUCCCCCGCACCCCCACAUUUUAGCUGCAGUGACACUGUGGAGCCACUGUGAUGUCCCAAGCUUAAGUGCUGCCAUCUUGACAACUCUGUUUCUUCAUUGCGGUAACAGUUUUGGUUAUUUAUUUAUUUAUUUCAAUUUAUUUUUAUGAAUGCAUUAACAGUAUGUUCGUAGUCAUUUAAAUGUAUGAAAUUAUUUAUACUCUAAAGUAAGUCUGCCCCACUAUAAGCCAAUUAGACACUUGGAGGAGAGGUGGCGUAGCUCCUACUCAUCCUUGACCUCGGCACUAGAUGGGGGCGAGUGGCCAGCAUCACGCCCCAGCUGCGCUUUACCCCCAGGAAAGGACCACAACCCAUUGGAUACAACUCUGGGUCAGUCCCAGCUGGUCUGGACACUGAUGCUAUAAGAAAAAUCUUCUGCCCCCAUCAGGGCUCAAACCUGUUAUCCA